rnacentral:lncRNA from 1 species
ACUGGAGCAGGAAGUCGGCCUGUGGCCGGCCAUGUUCAUGAGGGCGCGUCCCUUGGCACCCCUGUAGCCGCUAUGUUUCCCACGCCCGUGGCAGGCCUGAGAGAUUAUGUUUGCGGGGGGUGCUUUUUUUGUAGCUUCUGUGUUCGCCAUAUUUGAAAGGGGCAGACGGCCAUGUUCGUGAACGGCGCUUCCCUUGGUGCACCUGUGGCCGCCAUGUUUGAGCGAGUGUUCUGCACUCUUCUACCAGGACCCCGUGGCAGGCCAGGACCGUUUCUCCGGUGCUAUCCCAGAGCAUGGCGCAUCCACUCAUUCACUCAAGGGAAAGGCCUGAAAGUAAAAUUGUAUCAACAUUAGGUUUGGCUAAUGUUGCCAUUAGGCAAACCUAAUUUUAAUGAAGCCAGGAGGUUCUCGUUUUGGGCCUUGACUGGACAGGUUUGAGCUAGAAACCACUUGAAGUAUUGAUCAUCCAUCUGAUCAUCAAGUUUUUUUUUUUUUUUGAGUUGGAGUCUCACUCUGUUGCUCACGCUGGAGUGCAGUGGCACGAUCUCAGCUCCCUGCAACCUCCACCUCCCGGGUUCUCCUGCCUCAGCCUUCCAAGUAGCUGGGAUUAUAAGCGUGUGCCACCAUGCCUGGCUACUUUUUUAUAUUUUCGGUUGAGAUGGGGUUUCACCGCGUGGCCAGGCUGGUCUCAAACUCCUGACCUCAAGUGAUCCGCCUGCCUCGGCCUCCCAAAGUGCUGGGAUUACAGGCGUGAGCCGCCACUCCCAGCUUGUUCAUCCAGUUUUUAUUGAGCAUCUAUUAUGUGCCGAUAUUGAGGUAGACUCUGGGAGUCACAGCAGUGAAUGCAGCUGCCUGGAUGCCUCGUGAGGGCCGGAGCCUCACUGGGGAGAUGGACAUGAACAGCAAAUGCACAGCGAGGUUGGUCCCCGCACCUGAGACCACACUGAGGCUGAAGGAGGGGCUGGCAGUGCUAGGGCAGGGCUGCGGCUCUCAGCAUCCUGAUGUGAAAUUGUCUCCGGCAGGAAAGCCAGGGGUCUGUGCGGGGAUGCUGCAGGACACGAGAACCAGCCAAGACCUAUGGCCCCUGCAGCCACCGAGGGCUCGAGAGCGCCCCUGUGGACUUGGCUGGGCCCUUCAUGGUGACAUCCAGGAAUGCGGCUGAGCGCGGGUGUUGACCUCGCUGUUUGCUGGAAUGUUUGGGUUCUUGGACCAUGUCAGUGACGGCUGUGUCACCAUGGCCUUGCUAUCCCCAGGAAAACCUAACAUGCACCCCGCGCCUGUCCUCUGGGACUCCCAUCCUCCUCCUUUGUCUGACCCCUGAGAGGCUUACCGUUUCCCCAGGGCAGCCCCGGCUGUGGCCCUCGGCCCUGCUCCAGGCGGCCAUGUCAGUGUCCUCCCUCGGCGCUCCCAACACCCUACCUGGCUCUGCGAUGGCCACCCUGGACUCCUAAACACCCCAGAAAGGGAAGAGAUUUAAGAGGAACCUUGAUUCCUGCCAUUCUGCGCAGUCGUGGGUCCCUCCUCCACCUGGGGCCCUCAAGGGGAUUUCUGUCCGCACUCCCAGCCAGCGACCCCUCCCAGUUCCUGCAGCUGGAGCGGCCCUCUCUCCUGAACAUUCGGGCACCUGCGUCUGUCACUGCAGCCAGAGGGCUGGAGUGUCUUCGGUCAACUCGCCAUCCCUGCCACGGCUGGAGGCCACAUGUCCCAGAACCUACCUUGCUGGGAUGGGGGUUGGGGUGGCAGAGGCUGAACGCGUGUGAGGUUUGGGGGAGGACAAGCGGAGCGGGGAUGUGUGGGAGGUCCUGGUGUCCACCGUGAGGAUGGUCACACCCCAUAGCUUUGUUGAUGCUGUGGCUGUAGCAGGCCCAGUGGCUCCGCUGAGCCUCCCUAGCACCAGUGCCCAGUGAAGUGUGGGGGGCUGGACAUAGGUGGCCUCAGUUCCUGGGACUCCCCCAAAGCUCUGGUUUCCCCCCUGCUCCCAGGCUUCAGGUGGACGAGUUAGUGACCACCCCCACUCCAGACCUCCCUCCCCUAGCCACCCCCACAGUUAUAAAAACCUUCAUUCUCAUAUGGAACCCCCUUUCCUGAAAUCCGUAGAGUGACUGACUGCUUUCUUGAGUGAAUCUGGACUGGGCCACAUGAUGAUCGCUGUACAGAGCAGCUGAGCUCCUCUGUCUCAGCCUCCCUGAGUUCACAGCAGGCUCUGGGCAUCAUCUCCGUGUCAUCCUAAGGCCACGGGCGGGGUUCCCACCAAACAGGAGAGCAGCUCUCCCGAGAUGAAGCCUUCUGAUAGCCCUAGAACCAAGAGGAACCGUGUGGGGUUGGGUGGGGUGUUUACUGUGCACUCCUGAUGUUCCCUCCCAGUGAAGGACACCCACCUGGGACACUGUGGCCCCUGGCCCUCCCUCCCUCCCCUCGGUGGCAGAGAGAACUUCCUGGUGGGUGACAGCCCAUGGUCCACCCUUGCCAGGUGGAUUCAGGCAAAAUACGCCAGGCUGUGUGCUGAAGGCAUCCCAUCUCUUCCUCGUCCCCUCUCGGCUGGAUCGGGGUGGGGCAGCGGGUGGUGAGUGUGUCUGUCCUGCCAGUUCAGCCUCCAACUGGUCUGCUGUGGGGCAGGAGCCCACCUGGCUCUCCUGCAGAGCUGCAUGGCCUGCCUUGCCUCACCCGUGACAACAGAGACUUUGGUUCUCCAUCUGCAGACGCAUUUGUCUUGUUUCUUAUUCGGUCCAGAACUCGGGUGGGAAGAAGGGUGAUGUUAUUUGGGUCCCCUCAAGACCUUGACAACAGAUAGUUUUUAAUAUCACAUUUUAAAGCCGCCAACUUUCUCUCCUCCACUUUGGUAUUUCCCUGAUUUUUAAACAGAAUGUCGGCUCUGGAGGCAGAAAGCUUGGGCUUGGAUCUGGGCCCUGCCACGCAGUAGCUAUGUGGCCAGGGAAUACAUAGCUUCCGGAUCUCCGAUCCCUACAGUAAAGUACAGAUAAAAAUACUUUUCAUUGAUGUGUUUGAAAUCGAAUGAGAUAGUUAAUGAAUGAGUAAGUGCUCUGCAAACUCCAGAGCGGGGUGCGCGUUCUGAUCUGUUUCAUAGAAUCUGACACGUACCCUUUCCCACCCCAGCGUCUCUGAAUUGGGAUGCAUCUGACAGCAAGUGUGGCAUCCGGGCUGCAGUUGCCGUUGUCUGCUCACAUGUGAAUUAAAAAAACAAUCUCAGCAUAUGAAAUCUCUAAUCGCGUAUGAACUUGGUGGUUAUUCCUGGUGCCGUGUGGAUAACUGCAGCCUCAACACCCCAGUCCACAAACCACGUACGGACCAACUGAGGAAGGAGUAGGGGUUCUUGUUGUUGCAGAAAACCCUCCCUCAACUUGCUCUAGAAGAUACCAGCAUUCAUACUUGGAGUGGGCAUCAGCAGCUUGGAAGACACAGCAGUGGGCCCCUCUUAGCAGGAGUGCCCCAUCUCAUGGCUCCCGACGACGACCCAGAGGGUGAUGCUGCGUAGGGGCUCACGGACAUUGGCACUCUAAGUCAGAGAUGCUCAGGUGAAGGGGGCUCUGAUGGUGAGGACAUUCAGAAAUAACAGAGAUUGGCUGGGUACGGUGGCUCACACCUGUAAUCCCAGCACUUUGGGAGGGAAGCCGAGGCAGGUGGAUCACUGGAGGUCAGCCUGGCCAACAUGGUGAAACCCCGUCUCUACUAAAAAUACAAAAAUUAGCUGGGCGUGGCGGCAUGUGUCUGUAAUCCCAGUUACUCGGGAGGCUGAGGCAGGAGAAUUGCUUGAACCUGGGAGGCAGAGGUUGCAGUGAGCCAAGAGUGCGCCACUGCACUCCAGCCUGGGCAACAGAGCGAGACUCUUUGUCUCAAAAAAGAAAAAAAAAAGAAACAACAGAGACUUAUUUUACUUAUGUUUUCCUCUUUUCUGUGUGUAUAAUGAGAGAAAUUAGGAUGCCAAAAAAAAAAGAAAAGAAAAGAAAAGAAAAACCAAGGCCUUCUAAGUCUAUAAAAAUUUUUUAAGUAAUUUUUUUUUUUUUUAAGAGACAGGGUCUUGCUCUGUAGCCCAGGCUGGGGUGCAGCAGUGCAAUCCCAGCUCACUGCAGCCUUGAGCUCCUGG